AUUGAACGCUGGCGGCAGGCUUAACACAUGCAAGUCGAGCGGGGGAAGGUAGCUUGCUACCGGACCUAGCGGCGGACGGGUGAGUAAUGCUUAGGAAUCUGCCUAUUAGUGGGGGACAACAUCUCGAAAGGGAUGCUAAUACCGCAUACGUCCUACGGGAGAAAGCAGGGGAUCUUCGGACCUUGCGCUAAUAGAUGAGCCUAAGUCGGAUUAGCUAGUUGGUGGGGUAAAGGCCUACCAAGGCGACGAUCUGUAGCGGGUCUGAGAGGAUGGGCGCCCACACGGGGACGGGGACACGGCCCAGACUCCUGCGGGAGGCAGCAGUGGGAAAUAUUGGACAAUGGGGGUAACCCUGAACCAGCCAUGCCGCGUGUGUGAAGAAGGCUUUAUGGUUGUAAAGCACUUUAAGCGGGGAGGAGGCUACUUUAGUUAAUACCUAGAGAUAGUGGACGUUACUCGCAGAAUAAGCACCGGCUAACUCUUUGCCAGCAGCCGCGGUAA
rnacentral:rRNA from 1 species